rnacentral:lncRNA from 1 species
CAUUGCAACGUCGAAGGCUACUGGAGAAGGUACUGUCUGGCCUACCUAGUGACUGUCAAGAGCAGAAAGAAGGAUGGGCCUUCUGUAGAUACGUAUGAAAUGCUUGUUAUUGAAACUAAUCUAACGAUUUCCUCUUCUUCUAGUUGGAUUCUUGAUUCUGGUUCAAGUGCUCAUUUGUGCACUUCAAUGCAGGAUCUUAAAGAAGUUAGGGGGCU